UACGGGGGGGGCAAGCGUUGUUCGGAAUUACUGGGCGUAAAGGGUUCGUAGGUGGCUCGCUAAGUCAGACGUGAAAUCCCUCAGCUUAACUGGGGAACUGCGUCUGAGACUGGCAAGCCUGAGUGCAGGAGAGGAACGCGGAAUUCCAGGUGUAGCGGUGAAAUGCGUAGAUAUCUGGAGGAACACCGGUGGCGAAGGCGGCGUUCUGGACUGCAACUGACACUGAGGAACGAAAGCCAGGGGAGCAAACGGG
rnacentral:rRNA from 1 species